rnacentral:miRNA from 1 species
UCCCUGAGACCCUAAAACGUG